rnacentral:rRNA from 1 species
CUGCGCCACGAGUGGUGGUCGCGUUUAUUGGGCCUAAAGCGUCCGUAGCCGGAUUGAUAACUCUUUUGUGAAAUUGUUGGUCUUAAGCUAACAACGCGCAGAAGAAACUGUUAAUCUUGGGACCGGAGAGAAGUCAGAAGUAUGGUGGGGGGAGCGGUAAAAUGCUAUAAUCCCCAUUGGACUACCUGUGGCGAAGGCGUCUGACUAGAACGGAUCUGACGGUGAGGGACGAAAGCUAGGGGAGCAAUCCGGAUUAGAUACCCGAGUAGUCC